UUGGGGGAAACUAUGUCAGAGCCCUUCCGGACCUGUCAGUAUUAGCCGCCCACAACUUUUCUGAGUUGGGAACUGAGUGGUUCAGAGAGAGAGAAAAAAAAUGCCCUAGUUUUGUAAUUGGCUCCCAUGGUGCUGCUCAACGGUUAUUAAAAUACGGACACAAAACCUCCCAGAGAAAUCGCUCUGGGCCUCUAUUUAUCAUGUGUGUCCUAAGACAAGCAAAGGCCAUUCCGCGGAGUGUUAGCUACCGGAUGCUUCAAGCUCAGGAGAUUGAACCACCGGCCGGCAUUUUCUGAGGCCAGGAAACUUCCACCAAAAAGGAAGCCCAACAUCAAGAGCUCCCUCGGGGUCCCUGCACAGUGCUCCUGCUGCCUCAGAGCUGAAAGCCACUAUUUCACGGAUUUCUACCUUGUUUAUCGUCUGCUUCACUUCACUGAGCUCUGUCGAGUCUGUGCGAUCAAUAAAACUCCUUGCAAGACGUUUUCUGAAAUGGAAUGAGUAGAAUUCGAUCCUGUACAUGGAGAACUGGAGAAAUCUGCUUGGAGGGGGCUUCUGCAGAGGUUGCUGGGUUGUGUCCCGCCUCCUGGAGCGAAGCAACCACACUGUAAUCAUUAGUGUCUAUUAAAUGUGCUAAG